rnacentral:lncRNA from 1 species
CUCGGCUCCUCCUUAACUAGUGGUCUUCUCUUGAUCUUUUGUUUUCUUUUUUUCAGAAAUCAUCUGAAUUUUCUUGUGGUCAAUGCUACAUCCUCAUCAUCUUCACUAUUUUUUAAUUUUUCUAAAUCUUCUUCUUCUUGAGCCAUUAAUUUGAUGGCAAAUAUCUUCUUUCUUCUGAUCUCUUCUUCAGAAUAUUAUUUCAUGGUCAGCUCGUAAGUCAUGAGAGAUCCAAGCAACUCCUCCAAAGGUAGGAUGUUUAAGUCCUUGGCUUCUUGAAUCGUCAUGAUCUUUGCUUCUCAUGAUCUUAGUAGAGACCUAAGAACUUUCUUAUAAGGUCACUAUUAGAAUAACACUUUUCAAGACUUUUUAGACCAUUUAUGAUAUCAGUGAAAUGAAUAAAUAUUUAUAUUAUAGACUCAUCAUGUUUCAUUUUAAAUAAUUCAUAAUUGUGCACAAGCAUGUUAAUUUUUGACUCUUUUACUUAGUUUGUGUCUUCAUGUGUAACUUCUAAUCUAUCUUAAAUUU